UCCCAGGUAGCAUGCCAUCAUCGGCCCGACGUCGGCUGAUAGUCGGCACCGUCGGCUAAAAUCGGCAUCGUUGAACAGCGCUGGGCCGACAGCGGGCCAAUGUAACCCAGAUAACACAUAACAUUUUCCAAACAUGUUCAUAAAGUUUCAAACUGAUUUAACAAAAAUAUUUUCGUCAAAACACAGUCACAAUCUUAAAACAAUUCUCUCAACUAUUUAAAAGCAUUAAUUAUUCAUUUAAUUAUUAAAAGUUGUUCAUGAAGAAAGAAAUGUUACCGCGGGAAAGGACGUCGGAAUGACGUCACACCGUCACGUCAUAUUUUCGCACCCGCCAUCUUAGUUGAAGUUUGUUGAGGACGGUACAACAAUGUCAUUGUGCAGCAACAAAUGGAACAGUAUCAUCGAUCUGACCUCGGUUGCGCAAGGGCGAAUAUGAGACACAAGAAUUCCGGCAGAUGCACAGAAGUGAUGGAUUUAUUGAGGAUUACAUCAGAUAAUCCAGGAACUGUGAAUCAGUAAACAAAAAUGGAUAAAGUCGAAAACCAAAGAAGAAGAUUCUGAAAUAAUCUCGAAAAGUGUACGCUUUUCUGAAA